rnacentral:sRNA from 1 species
ACUAAAUCAGUAAGUUGGCACCAUUACCAGUUAUUAAAACCCCUUUUGAUUUGUUAAAACACCUUGCGGUCUGGCAACUGCAAGUGUCAAACAAGAAAUCAAAAG